rnacentral:rRNA from 1 species
GACGAACGCUGGCGGCGUGCCUAAUACAUGCAAGUCGAGCGAAGUUUUUCUGGUGCUUGCACUAGAAAAACUUAGCGGCGAACGGGUGAGUAACACGUAAAGAACCUGCCUCAUAGACUGGGACAACUAUUGGAAACGAUAGCUAAUACCGGAUAACAGUAUUUCUCGCAUGAGAGAUAUUUAAAAGUUGGUUAUGCUAACACUAUGAGAUGGCUUUGCGGUGCAUUAGCUAGUUGGUGGGGUAAAGGCCCACCAAGGCGACGAUGCAUAGCCGACCUGAGAGGGUGAUCGGCCACACUGGGACUGAGACACGGCCCAGACUCCUACGGGAGGCAGCAGUAGGGAAUCUUCCGCAAUGGGCGAAAGCCUGACGGAGCAACGCCGCGUGAGUGAAGAAGGAUUUCGGUUCGUAAAGCUCUGUUGUUAGGGAAGAAUGGAUAUGUAGUAACUAUACAUGUAAGAGACGGUACCCAACCAGAAAGCCACGGCUAACUACGUG